UGAGGAAUAUUGGUCAAUGGGCGAAAGCCUGAACCAGCCAUGCCGCGUGCAGGAUGAAGGCCUUAUGGGUCGUAAACUGCUUUUCUGUGGGGCGAAACAAUCGUACGUGUACGAUCUUGACGGUACUACAGGAAUAAGGAUCGGCUAACUCCGUGCCAGCAGCCGCGGUAAUACGGAGGAUCCAAGCGUUAUCCGGAUUCAUUGGGUUUGAAGGGUGCGUAGGUGGGACUAUAAGUCAGCGGUGAAAUCCAUCAGCUUAACUGAUGAACUGCCGUUGAUACUGUUUUCCUUGAGUACAUUUGAAGUGGGCGGAAUGUGUCAUGUAGCGGUGAAAUGCUUAGAUAUGACACAGAACACCGAUUGCGAAGGCAGCUCACUAAACUGUUUCUGACACUGAGGCACGAAAGCGUGGGGAGCAAACAGG
rnacentral:rRNA from 1 species